UAGUUAGCGGCGGACGGGUGAGUAACACGUGGGCAACCUACCUGUAAAACUGGGAUAACUUCGGGAAACCGGAGCUAAUACCGGAUGACAUAAAGGAACUCCUGUUCCUUUAUUGAAAGAUGGCUUCGGCUAUCACUUACAGAUGGGCCCGCGGCGCAUUAGCUAGUUGGUGAGGUAACGGCUCACCAAGGCGACGAUGCGUAGCCGACCUGAGAGGGUGAUCGGCCACACUGGGACUGAGACACGGCCCAGACUCCUACGGGAGGCAGCAGUAGGGAAUCUUCCGCAAUGGACGAAAGUCUGACGGAGCAACGCCGCGUGAGCGAUGAAGGCCUUCGGGUCGUAAAGCUCUGUUGUUAGGGAAGAAUAAGUGCUAGUUGAAUAAGCUGGCACCUUGACGGUACCUAACCAGAAAGCCACGGCUAACUACGUGCCAGCAC
rnacentral:rRNA from 2 species